UCCAACCCACAGCCAGGGUGUGGCAGAACCAGAAUUUCCAGUUCUUUGUACUUCAUCACAAACCGAAUCCCUGGAAUGCAAGAAUCCUGAAAGUUGUUAACUGAAGGAAGGAAAGGGGCCCACCUGGAGGAGGAAGAGCAAAAAUCUAUUUAUACACAAAAUAGCUUUGCAAGGGGAAGAGGCACCUGAUAUAAAAGUUUUGGGCCACUUGAAGCAUGACAGGGAGAUGGUAAGAUGGAGCCAGAAUCUGAGAAGGCUGGGAAGAGGUGGAAGUACCAACUGCAGAGCUUUGAAGAGCGCCAUAACCCUCACCUCCUCUUCAGAGCCUCUCCUCCGUGUUGCUACUGCCAAGAGAAGAGAGUCUUGACAGAUAUUUAUGAAGUACCUACUAUGAGCCAGAUACGGCAUGCUGACGAUACAAGGAUCACGGACAUAGCAGGCCUCACAGUCUGGGAGAAAGAUGCACAUGAGCAGGCUUUGUGACUCAAGGAUGCAUAUAAAGGAUGCAUAUUCACCAUCUACUGCGCAUGAAGAGCUACCCAACUCUACUCUGAGUACCAGACUCUUCUCCCUGGCAGGCAGAUUUCCUUUCUACCAACCGUUUUUUAAUGUUUGUUUGCCUGAAUUGUAUCGCGACUCCCUUCUGCCGUGGAGCCCUCACUGGCUUCUUCAUUUCAGGUCAUCAGGUGGAAAGCACGCUGCAGAAAGGACUGUUCCCAUGCCCAGGAGAGGCUUGCAAGUGAGCUCCAUGUAAUCACCCCCUGGCAGAAUGCAAUGCAGGAGGCUGGGGUUACAGUGAGCGAGGAGCGAGGCACAAUGAUGCUUUGGAAUGGAAGUAAGCUUUCAAAUCUCAGCAGCCCUGAGUGAUUCCUCCGCUUCGGGUAAGUGUGUGUGUGGCGGGUGUGGUUGAGAGCUGCCAGGGGCACAGCAGGCAUGGCAGUCGAGGGACAAGUUAGACCAUGAGGUUGCUGGGCACAGCACUGGAGUUGGUUUUUCUGUUUUUAGAAAAAGGCCUCAAGAUAUAGCAUUAUUUUU